GCCAGACUCCUACGGGAGGCAGCAGUAGGGAAGAUAGCACAAUGGGAGAAAGCCUGAUGGAGCAACGCCGCGUGCAGGAUGAAGGCCUUAGGGUUGUAAAGUGCUUUUAUAAGCGAGAAAUAUGAUGGUAAAUUAUGAAUAAGGAUCGGCUAACUACGUGCCAGCAGCCGCGGUCAUACGUAGGAUCCGAGCAUUAUCCGGAGUGACUGGGUGUAAAGAGUUGCGUAGGUGGCAUAAUAAGUAGCUAGUGAAAUCUGGUGGCUCAACCAUUCAGACUAUUAGCUAAACUGUUAAGCUCGAGACCGUUAGGGGUAACUGGAAUUUCUAGUGUAGGAGUGAAAUCCGUAGAUAUUAGAAGGAACACCAAUAGCGUAGGCAGGUUACUGGGACGGUUCUGACACUACGGCACGAAAGCGUAGGGAGCAAACGGGAUUAGAUACCCUGG
rnacentral:rRNA from 1 species